GUCCACGCCGUAAACGAUGUCGACUAGCCGUUGGGGUCCUUGAGACUUUAGUGGCGCAGCUAACGCAUUAAGUCGACCGCCUGGGGAGUACGGCCGCAAGGUUAAAACUCAAAUGAAUUGACGGGGGCCCGCACAAGCGGUGGAGCAUGUGGUUUAAUUCGAAGCAACGCGAAGAACCUUACCUGGCCUUGACAUGCUGAGAACUUUUCAGAGAUAGAUUGGUGCCUUGGGAACUCAGACACAGGUGCUGCAUGGCUGUCGU
rnacentral:rRNA from 1 species